AUCUAAGUACCCCGAGGAAAAGAAAUCAACCGAGAUUCCCCCAGUAGCGGCGAGCGAACGGGGAGGAGCCCAGAGCCUGAAUCAGCAUGUGUGUUAGUGGAAGCGUCUGGAAAGGCGCGCGAUACAGGGUGACAGCCCCGUACACAAAAGCGCAUGUGUUGUGAGCUCGAUGAGUAGGGCGGGACACGUGGUAUCCUGUCUGAAUAUGGGGGGACCAUCCUCCAAGGCUAAAUACUCCUGACUGACCGAUAGUGAACCAGUACCGUGAGGGAAAGGCGAAAAGAACCCCGGCGAGGGGAGUGAAAAAGAACCUGAAACCGUGUACGUACAAGCAGUGGGAGCACCCUUUGGGGUGUGACUGCGUACCUUUUGUAUAAUGGGUCAGCGACUUAUAUUCUGUAGCAAGGUUAACCGUAUAGGGGAGCCGGAGGGAAACCGAGUCUUAACCGGGCGUUAAGUUGCAGGGUAUAGACCCGAAACCCGGUGAUCUAGCCAUGGGCAGGUUGAAGGUUGGGUAACACUAACUGGAGGACCGAACCGACUAAUGUUGAAAAAUUAGCGGAUGACCUGUGGCUGGGGGUGAAAGGCCAAUCAAACCGGGAGAUAGCUGGUUCUCCCCGAAAGCUAUUUAGGUAGCGCCUCGUGAAUUCAUCUCCGGGGGUAGAGCACUGUUUCGGCUAGGGGGCCAUCCCGGCUUACCAACCCGAUGCAAACUGCGAAUACCGGAGAAUGUUAUCACGGGAGACACACGGCGGGUGCUAACGUCCGUCGUGAAGAGGGAAACAACCCAGACCGCCAGCUAAGGUCCCAAAGUCAUGGUUAAGUGGGAAACGAUGUGGGAAGGCCCAGACAGCCAGGAUGUUGGCUUAGAAGCAGCCAUCAUUUAAAGAAAGCGUAAUAGCUCACUGGUCGAGUCGGCCUGCGCGGAAGAUGUAACGGGGCUAAACCAU
rnacentral:rRNA from 1 species